rnacentral:sRNA from 1 species
GACAAGCGACAAAAGGUCAUAAAUUUCAUGCUUGCAUGAAAAAGUAUGACUUUGGGACCCGUUAAAACAUAAGAAAGGAGCCCGAUCGGGCGGAUUUCGAAUGUUUUCAGGAUUGCGGGAGCAUGAAAUGCGAAGCAAUCCGUAGCAUC